rnacentral:lncRNA from 1 species
UCGUUGUUAGAAUAAAGUACAAAGAAGUUCUGAAGGAUUUGCCCUCAACUGCAAUUAUAUUGUAUGCUGGCGAAACAAAACUAUCCAUAGCCGCUGCAUGUUUAUGCACCUGUCCUGAUUGAUUCAGGGGUCUGUCGUUCAGCAGUUGUCGUUUGUUGAUGCGGUUCAUUGGUAUUUUCCCGUUUUCCGGUUUGGAUAUAUAAAUUAGAUCGUUGGUUUUCCUGUUCGAAUUAUGUACACUAAUUAUUUUAGGGUCCUUUAUAGCUUGCUGUUUGAUGACGGUCUGGAUCAAAGCCCUGUGUAAAAGGCCGUACUUUGACCUGUGUUUGUCAUUAUCAGAUUGGGAGCAACCCUCCCUCAGACAAGGGGUCAUUUUACU